GACGAACGCUGGCGGCGUGCCUAACACAUGCAAGUCGAACGGAAAGGCCCUUCGGGGUACUCGAGUGGCGAACGGGUGAGUAACACGUGGGUGAUCUGCCCUGCACUCUGGGAUAAGCCUGGGAAACUGGGUCUAAUACCGAAUAGGACCACGCGCUUCAUGGUGUGUGGUGGCAAGCGUUUGCGGUGUGGGUUGGGCCCGUGGCCUAUCAGCUUGUUGGUGGGGUAUUGGCCUACCAAGGCGACGACGGGCAGCCGACCUGCGAGGGUGACCGGCCACGCUGGGACUGAGAUACGGCCCAGACUCCAACGGGAGGCAGGAGUGGAGAAUAUUACACAAUGGGCGCAAGCCUAAUGCAGCGACGCCGCGUGGGGGAAGACGGGCUUCGGGUUGUAAACCUCUUUCAAUUGAGACGAGGCGCAAGUGACGGUACCUAGAGAAGAAGCACCGGCCAACUACGUG
rnacentral:rRNA from 1 species